rnacentral:rRNA from 1 species
UACGUGGGGGGCAAGCGUUGUUCGGAAUUAUUGGGCGUAAAGGGUGCGUAGGCGGUCGGGUAAGUCUGAUGUGAAAUCUCACAGCUUAACUGUGAAACUGCAUUGGAUACUAUCCGGCUAGAGGAAUGGAGGGGAGACUGGAAUACUUGGUGUAGCAGUGAAAUGCGUAGAUAUCAAGUGGAACACCAGUGGCGAAGGCGAGUCUCUGGACAUUUCCUGACGCUGAGGCACGAAAGCCAGGGGAGCAAACGGG